rnacentral:rRNA from 1 species
AUACGUAGGUGGCAAACGUUGUCCGGAUUUAUUGGGCGUAAAGCGAGCGCAGGCGGUUUUUUAAGUCUGAUGUGAAAGCCUUCGGCUCAACGGAAGAAGUGCAUCGGAAACUGGGAAACUUGAGUGCAGAAGAGGACAGUGGAACUCCAUGUGUAGCGGUGAAAUGCGUAGAUAUAUGGAAGAACACCAGUGGCGAAGGCGGCUGCCUGGUCUGUAACUGACGCUGAGGCUCGAAAGUAUGGGUAGC